UUUUUAGUGAGAGGGUCAGGUGCAUUAUCAGUCCUUGGAAACAUCAAAGACAAGAGCAAGUUGUUCAUGCUCAAACUAAAAGAUUACCAUCCACCAUUUUGGGAUAUAUAUUCAACUUCUUACUCUUUGACAUCUUGGAAGUCUUCCACAUCCUCUUCUUCUUAGGUCGUUAUCUUCAUAAACAUCUUCUUCAGUCAAAUCUGCCUCACCUUCUGAGUAGCAAAUAUUUUAAACCAGACCAUUUGUACUUCUGACUAUUCUUCUGUCCGAUAUG